GAUGAAGAACGUAGCGAAAUGCGAUAAGUAAUGUGAAUUGCAGAAUUCAGUGAAUCAUCGAAUCUUUGAACGCACAUUGCGCCCGCCAGUAUUCUGGCGGGCAUGCCUGUUCGAGCGUCAUUACAACCCUCAGGCCCCCGGGCCUGGCGUUGGGGAUCGGCGGAGCCCCCCGUGGGCACACGCCGUCCCCCAAAUACAGUGGCGGUCCCGCCGCAGCUUCCAUCGCGUAGUAGCUAACACCUCGCGACUGGAGAGCGGCGCGGCCACGCCGUAAAACACCCAACUCUUCUGAAGUUGACCUCGAAUCAGGUAGGAAUACCCGCUGAACUUAAGCAUAUCAAUAAGCGGAGG
rnacentral:misc_RNA from 1 species